AGAGUUUGAUCAUGGCUCAGAGUGAACGCUGGCGGCGUGCUUAACACAUGCAAGUCGUGCGCGAAAGGGGAGCAAUCCCUGAGUAAAGCGGCGGACGGGUGAGUAACACGUGGUUAACCUGCCGAGAUGUGGGGGAUACCCCGGGGAAACCCGGGCUAAUACCGCAUGAUGUCCUUCGGGCGCUGGCCUGGGGGAGCAAAGCCGGGGACCGCAAGGCCUGGCGCAUUUCGAGGGGACCGCGGCCGAUUAGCUAGUUGGCGGGGUAACGGCCCACCAAGGCGACGAUCGGUAGCCGGCCUGAGAGGGUGAUCGGCCACACCGGAACUGAGACACGGUCCGGACUCCUAC
rnacentral:rRNA from 1 species